rnacentral:rRNA from 1 species
CCUUACACAUGCAAGUCGAACGGCAGCACGGGUGCUUGCACCUGGUGGCGAGUGGCGAACGGGUGAGUAAUAUAUCGGAACGUGCCCUAGAGUGGGGGAUAACGUAGCGAAAGUUACGCUAAUACCGCAUACGAUCUGCGGACGAAAGUGGGGGAUCGCAAGACCUCAUGCUCAUGGAGCGGCCGAUAUCUGAUUAGCUAGUUGGUGGGGUAAAAGCCUACCAAGGCGACGAUCAGUAGCUGGUCUGAGAGGACGACCAGCCACACUGGGACUGAGACACGGCCCAGACUCCUACGGGAGGCAGCAGUGGGGAAUUUUGGACAAUGGGGGCAACCCUGAUCCAGCAAUGCCGCGUGUGUGAAGAAGGCCUUCGGGUUGUAAAGCACUUUUGUCAGGAACGAAACGGUGGGGGCUAAUACCUUCUGCUAAUGACGGUACCUGAAGAAUAAGCACCGGCUAACUACGUGCCAGCAGCCGCGGUAAUACGUAGGGUGCGAGCGUUAAUCGGAAUUACUGGGCGUAAAGCGUGCGCAGGCGGUUGUGCAAGACAGAUGUGAAAUCCCCGGGCUCAACCUGGGAAUUGCAUUUGUGACUGCACGGCUAGAGUGUGUCAGAGGGGGGUAGAAUUCCACGUGUAGCAGUGAAAUGCGUAGAUAUGUGGAGGAAUACCGAUGGCGAAGGCAGCCCCCUGGGAUAACACUGACGCUCAUGCACGAAAGCGUGGGGAGCAAACAGGAUUAGAUACCCUGGUAGUCCACGCCCUAAACGAUGUCUACUAGUUGUCGGGUCUUAAUUGACUUGGUAACGCAGCUAACGCGUGAAGUUGACCGCCUGGGGAGUACGGUCGCAAGAUUAAAACUCAAAGGAAUUGACGGGGACCCGCACAAGCGGUGGAUGAUGUGGAUUAAUUCGAUGCAACGCGAAAAACCUUACCUACCCUUGACAUGUACGGAACCCUGCUGAGAGGUGGGGGUGCUCGA